CCCUUAGAUGCUCUGGGCCGCACGCGCGCUACACUGAUGCAUUCAACGAGCCUAGCCUUGACCGAGAGGUCCGGGUAAUCUUUGAAACUGCAUCGUGAUGGGGCUAGAUUAUUGCAAUUAUUAAUCUUCAACGAGGAAUGCCUAGUAAGCGUGAUUCAUCAAAUCGCGUUGAUUACGUCCCUGCCCUUUGUACACACCGCCCGUCGCUCCUACCGAUUGAGUGUGUUGGUGAGGAGUUCGGAUUGGCUCUUAGUGGUGGUUCGCCACCACCUAGAGCUGAGAAGUUCUCCAAACCGCCCCACUUAGAGGAAGGAGAAGUCGUAACA
rnacentral:rRNA from 1 species